rnacentral:lncRNA from 1 species
UCAGUGCCCGGCGCUGCCGGGAAGCGGGCAGAGGAGCGAGCAAGGAUGUGCCUCGGGACCCCCCGCACCUUCCCGUGGAUUUCCUUGCGGAAAGGAUGUUGACGGUCCCUGUGACCUGUGGAGACACGGCCAGAUCUGCCCUCCA